AUCUGAUGGUUUGGGAGCUUGCACAUAACUUCUUAAAUCUUUCCCAAUACUCAUACAAGCUUUCACCACCGAGUUGUGUAAUCCUAGAAAUGUCUUUCCUUAUGAC
rfam:Vigna angularis cultivar Jingnong 6 scaffold163_18, whole genome shotgun sequence.